rnacentral:rRNA from 1 species
UACGUAGGGUGCAAGCGUUAAUCGGAAGUACUGGGCGUAAAGCGUGCGCAGGCGGUUUUGUAAGUCUGUCGUGAAAGCCCCGGGCUCAACCUGGGAAUUGCGAUGGAGACUGCAAGGCUUGAAUCUGGCAGAGGGGGGUAGAAUUCCACGUGUAGCAGUGAAAUGCGUAGAGAUGUGGAGGAACACCGAUGGCGAAGGCAGCCCCCUGGGUCAAGAUUGACGCUCAUGCACGAAAGCGUGGGGAGCAAACAGG